GCAAGUCUGGUGCCAGCAGCCGCGGUAAUUCCAGCUCCAAUAGCGUAUAUUAAAGUUGUUGCAGUUAAAAAGCUCGUAGUUGGAUCUCGGGUCCAGGCUUGCGGUUCUGCUCGUGCAGACACUGCUCGUCCUGACCUACCUGCCGGUUUUCCCUUGGUGCCCUUGACUGGGUGUCUCGGGUGGCCGGAACGUUUACUUUGAAAAAAUUAGAGUGUUCAAAGCAGGCAGCUCGCCUGAAUAAUGGUGCAUGGAAUAAUAGAAAAGGACCUCGGUUCUAUUUUGUUGGUUUUCGGAACUUGAGGUAAUGAUUAAGAGGGACAGACGGGGGCAUUCGUAUUACGGUGUUAGAGGUGAAAUUCUUGGAUCGCCGUAAGACGAACUACUGCGAAAGCAUUUGCCAAGAAUGUUUUCAUUAAUCAAGAACGAAAGUCAGAGGUUCGAAGAC
rnacentral:rRNA from 1 species